rnacentral:lncRNA from 1 species
UUUGCGAAAUUACCCUUUUGCCAACACCGACCUCUCCUCGAUCAACGUGCGAUCUCCGCAGAUCCGUCCGUCAGAUUUGCGAACGGAUUGCACCAGUGCGAUCAGCACCUCGGAGACAACAAAGCUACGAUUUUGUUUCACCACGAUCGACCACGGAUUCACGACAAAAUCCAAACUUUCUUUCCAAUAGAAGGAAUAACACAUAAAUACAUAUAAAACACGUAUUUUCGGAUUUCUCAAAAUUCGUGCAUCAAACUCAAAAUCCGUCAGUGCCAGUAGUUCCAGAAUAGCUAAACCGGUCGAAACGAGCUAUUGGACUGAUAAGAACGGAGUCCGAUACGCACCAGAAGCCAACUCUACUCCGUGGCUUCUCCGGAAAACCGGAGUUACUAU